rnacentral:misc_RNA from 1 species
GAUGAAGAACGUAGCGAAAUGCGAUAAGUAAUGUGAAUUGCAGAAUUCAGUGAAUCAUCGAAUCUUUGAACGCACAUUGCGCCCGCCAGCACUCUGGCGGGCAUGCCUGUUCGAGCGUCAUUUCAACCAUCAAGCCCCCAGGGGCUUGUUCUGGGGCCCUGCGGCUGCCCGCAGGCCCUGAAAACCAGUGGCGGGCUCGCUAGUCACACCGAGCGCAGUAGCACAUCUCGCUCAGGGCGUGCGGCGGGCUCCUGCCGUGAAACCCCCCACUGUAACCCCAAAGGUUGACCUCGGAUCAGGUAGGAAUACCCGCUGAACUUAAGCAUAUCAAUAAGCGGAGGA